GCUCAAUAUAAGGAGAGGCUACAAUAAAUAAAUAAACAAAUAGACUAAACAAUGAACAUAAUUCAUAACUUCUUUUACACAUCUUGGAGAUAAAACUAUGUUAGGUGGCGUGACCAAACCAGGGAUUUUCAAAGUAAACGCAGCGUGUGUUACGGAGACGCACUGAGCCGCUGCAGACAUCGACGUCACGUACAGGUGUGGGACCUCUGUUGGUAUGCUUGAUGCAUAAACUCAUCCAGUGACAGGAUAACCUGGAAACAGCCAGAGGAAACUAGCAGCUGGUCUACUCACUCGCACCACCACACUGGCUUCCUUUACUUUGAUCAUCUGUUACAGGCUGGCAAGACGUACCAGCACUCAGGGGAAUGGAGGGAUGUGUAGUAAAAGUUGAAGUUAACAGAUUCACACUGAAUUUACUUAAUUUAUUUAAGACAUCUGUUUCAAACUUAACAAAACAUUUUCUUUUAUUACAGAGUUUCCAGAGGACCAGAGUAGAGAGUUUGUGAGACAGCAGGGAAGACAGCUGUGGAUGUAGUUUCACUCACCUCGAAUGCUUUUGCUGAGGUUUCAUGUCUGCUGUCUGAGUCCCUAACUGUACCUACCUGCGGCUCAGUGCGUCUCCAUAACACACGCUGCCUUUACUUUGAAAAUCCCUGGGUUGGUCCCGCCGCCUAACAUAGUUUUAUCUCCAAGAUGUGUAAAAGAAGUUAUGAAUUAUGUUCAUUAUUUAGUCUAUUUGUUUAUUUAUUGUAGCCUUUCCUUAAAUUCAGCUGCGGCCAACACGCUUCAAAACACGCAACUUUUAAUUUGAAGGCGAGCUGUCUCUGUCUCUCCCGACUUCCUGUUUCAAUUUUCUUUGUACAAGUUGGAUAAUGGAACAAGCAGACUUACAGUAUUUAAGCAAUAUAUUUUUUGAUAUUUAUAUUUUAAGCUUUUAUGGAAAUAAUAUUAAUGUAUAACUACAAGCCGGUAUUAUAUGUGUCACUAUACCAUAUUGGAAAAAAAUGCAGACAAAAAAAAAAGAUUUUGUCAUGUUUGCAAUAAUCAGAUUGCUUUUUUUUUCUUCUUUUCUAUUUUUUAAACAUGUGAAAGUUCGAUGUCCCCAAAUCCCUCGUUAGCUAUGUCCCCUCAAGAACACCACGAUCAUCUGCUGCUGGUUUAUUGGAGAUUCCCAGUAACAGCUGAAAGAAGAUCGGUGAUGCAGCCUUUGUCAAAAACGCCCCCAAACUAUGGAACACACUACCGAUAGAUAUCAGGGAGACUAGCUCGCUAGAUACUUUCAAAAGAAAGCUUAAAACCUCUUUCUCUUUGCCUAAGCAUUUAAAUAGCUCUGCACUUGCUCUCUGCAGCACUUUUAAGAUGUUAUAUUUUAAUUUGUUUUAUACGUUCUAUGCUUUAACUUGUUCUUAUCAUAUUUUAUUCUUUGAUUAUUAUGCAUUCUAUGUAUUUUAGUUUCACUUUAUCAAAUAGGUUUUACUUUUAAUUUUCUACAUGGUUUUAUGUUCUUUUAUGUCAUUGUCAUGUAAUUUUUGUUGUAAAGCACU